rnacentral:rRNA from 1 species
AGAGUUUGAUCCUGGCUCAGGACGAACGCUGGCGGCAGGCUUAACACAUGCAAGUCGAACGAGAAGCUCACUUCGGUGAGUGGAAAGUGGCAGACGGGUUAGUAACGCGUGGGAACGUGCCCUUCGGUACAGAACAACAGUUAGAAAUGACUGCUAAUACUGUAUACGACCUCCGGGUGAAAGAUUUAUCGCCGAAGGAUCGGCCCGCGUUAGAUUAGCUUGAUGGUGGGGUAAAGGCCUACCAUGGCGACGAUCUAUAGCUGUUCUGAGAGGAAGAUCAGCAACACUGGGACUGAGACACGGCCCAGACUCCUACGGGAGGCAGCAGUGGGGAAUAUUGGACAAUGGGCGCAAGCCUGAUCCAGCCAUGCCGCGUGGAUGAAGAAGGCCCUAGGGUUGUAAAAUCCUUUCGCUAGGGAAGAUAAUGACGGUACCUAGACAAGAAGCCCCGGCUAAUUUCGUGCCAGCAGCCGCGGUAAUACGAAAGGGGCUAGCGUUGUUCGGAAUUACUGGGCGUAAAGCGCACGUAGGCGGCCUUGUAAGUUGGGGGUGAAAUCCCGGAGCUCAACUCCGGAACUGCCUCCAAAACUACAAAGCUA